UCNAGCGNACCGCGUGCAGGAUGAAGGCCUUCGGGUUGUAAACUGCGGUAGAUACGUAACAAUGCAAAUGAGUGCGUAUCGGAAAGAGGUGGGUAACUACGUGCCAGCACCAGCGGUAAUACGUAGACCUCAAGCGUUAUCCGGAUUUAUUGGGCGUAAAGCGCACGUAGGAGGUUUUGUGCGUCUUCUGUUAAAGCCCAGGGCCUAACCCUGGAAGUGCAGGAGAUACGACAAGACUCGAGGGGGUUAGAGGUGCAUGGAACUCACGGUGUAGGGGUGAAAUCCGUUGAUAUCGUGGGGAACACCAAAGGCGAAGGCAGUGCACUGGGACCUUCCUGACUCUGAGUUGCGAAAGCGUGGGGAGCAAAAAGGAUUAGAUACCCUUGUAGUCCACGCCCUAAACGAUGCCUGUUUGCUGUUUCGAGUAUCGACCCUCGGAGUGGCGUAGCUAACGCGUUAAACAGGCCGCCUGGGAAGUACGGCCGCAAGGCUAAAACUCAAAGGAAUUGACGGA
rnacentral:rRNA from 1 species